ACGAAGGCGCACGAACUGACCCGACCGUUACCGAAAGUACAUUUUUUUAAUGUUACAUCUGUAUUCUCGUGAUGAGAUAAAUGCUCACGAUUUCUGGAGCGCAAGAGGAAAAUAUUUUUUUAUUAAUUAUGUAUAAUACUAAAAAAUUUAAAAAGCACAUAAUACUAAAGUAGAAGAACUUACUUGAAGGUAGAAAAAAUUUCAUCUACCCUUUCCAUCUGAAAAAAAAAAAGUUAUCACCGUUUCAAAUUGAGCGUGAGCAAAAUGCUCAUAACAAGAGUGCUGACGGGUUAACAACAUGCCGCGACCAAAACGAUCAGAUCUUUCCCGACACAGCCGUACUGCAAGAAAGUCUCGAAACAUUACGAAUAAAAGGACUGAAGAAGAACAAGAAAUUGCACGUGAACAGUGCCGCGUUAGUAUGGCUCGACUUCGUGCUUCUCAAUCUCAAGAGCAAAGGGAUGCAGUCCGUGAAACGGCUCGGGUGGCAAUGCGAAAUCGCACAAAACGCAAGAGAAGAAAUUUAUCAAGUACAGAUUCGAAUCGAGCAGCGUUUCGAUACGAUUGCUGCACUGAUUACUGCUUGCAUACUAGCGUUCGUAUUGGGCCAAUGGACAUUGUAUGCGAGUAUUGUGGCGCGUUUAAGUUUUCCGGAGGAACGCCAGGAUUGUGCUGCCUGAGUAGGAAAGAGAAACUACCAUUAAUGACUCCACCACCUGAGCCAUUGCAUUCAUUGCUUCGUGGCGGAACUAAGUUCGUCGGGUCAGCUAGUAGUUGUAUAAAAAGGGAGUGUGAAGAUAUUUUUACUGAAGAUUUAUUGGGAUCUGAGGACUAUGAAAAUGACAACAUAAAACCUGAGCCUAGUGUAGAUUGCUAUGAAGAUUAUGUAAUUAAUUAUGAUUGAAAAAUAUUUAUUUAUUAAAAGUUAUAUGUGAUUUUGUUGUGAUUAUGAUUUAUAUAUUUGAGUUGACAUGUUUUGCCCUGAGGGCAUAUAUGUACAUAAACUGUUUAUUUUUAACUUUUAAUACAUAAAUAUUUUUCAACUAUACAAAAAUGGAUUAUGUAUUCAACAUUCAAGGUAAUAAAAUUAAUUAUGAUAUUGAGGAA